rnacentral:lncRNA from 1 species
GUUCCUGGCUGAGACCACACAAGGGGCCUGAAGGCGAGACACCCACCGAUGGGGGGCGCCACCAGCUGGACGGCCGCACAGAACUUCUGAACCAACUCCUGACUUGCCUGGCUGGCCGGUUCACCUCUUGUAAGAUUGAACAGUGACAGGAAGGAUCGCUACUCGGGAGUUAAUUCAAACCAGGAAGGAGGAGCUGCUGGUGAGAGAGCGGAUGGGGACUUGGGAGUUUCAGAGUGCCUCGGUAUCCCUGUGUGGUUCCUGCCACCUGUCAGCAUCUCUGCACGUGUCGUCUGCAUUGAAGUCUGUUCAUCAGCCUCUCCGGGGGUGAAGGUUAUCUCCUGGCACCUGACAGAUACCAGGGAGGGCAUAAACAGCUGGCCUUCUGGAGAUGACAAUCCAUUCCUCCACUGCUUGAAGGAGAAGAGAAGGAGCUGGGAUAGGCACAG